AUUGAACGCUGGCGGCAUGCCUUACACAUGCAAGUCGAACGGCAGCACGGGUGCUUGCACCUGGUGGCGAGUGGCGAACGGGUGAGUAAUACAUCGGAACGUACCUUAUCGUGGGGGAUAACGCAGCGAAAGCUGUGCUAAUACCGCAUACGCCCUGAGGGGAAAGCGGGGGAUCGCAGGACCUCGCGCGAUUAGAGCGGCCGAUGCCUGAUUAGCUUGUUGGUGGGGUAAAAGCCCACCAAGGCGACGAUCAGUAGCUGGUCUGAGAGGACGAUCAGCCACACUGGGACUGAGACACGGCCCAGACUCCUACGGGAGGCAGCAGUGGGGAAUUUUGGACAAUGGGGGCAACCCUGAUCCAGCAAUGCCGCGUGAGUGAAGAAGGCCUUCGGGUUGUAAAGCUCUUUUGUCAGGGAAGAAACACCGGCUCUAACACAGUCCGGGAAUGACGGUACCUGAAGAAUAAGCACCGGCUAACUACGUGCCAGCCGCCGCGGUAA
rnacentral:rRNA from 1 species